rnacentral:lncRNA from 1 species
GCCAGCACUCCACCUCUGAGCUGUCUUUGCAGUCCUCCUAGCUGGUCAUUUUGAAGAGACUGUGUGUGUGAUGAUGAAGGGUGUAUUAGAUGUGAUAGGAGUCUGGAAAGUGCUUUACCACUUUCAACAUGGGUCUCCAGCAGCCAGAGGAGAACACUGGGCCGCUGAAGCAGAGACAAGCUGAAGGCAAACCUGAGAACAAGAACACAAGGCCAGGGGCUGGAGAGAUAGCCCAGCUGGUAAGAACAUUUUGUUCCUUUUGUAGAGGACCCAAGUUCAGAUCCCAGCACUCCGUGGUGGCUCACAACUAUCCUGAACUCUAGUUAAGUCCAGGGGAUCCCAGGCCCUCUCUGACUCCCACCAGCACCAAGCAUGCAAGUAGUACACACACACACACACACACACACACACACACACACACACACACACGAGAAAGCCAAACACUCAUCUCCAUAAGCAAAUCUGAAAAGAAAAUGACAAAGCAGAUUAAACACAACAAUGAAUUGUAGAAAUGAAAUUUAUGUAAGACAGCCACAUAUACUGUACAUGAUGGAAAUCGUAUUUGUGAAGUCAGAGGCAGUAGUUAGAGGGCAUGGCGUCCAUGUGAAUGCAGGCCCUUACUUGUUAAUAUCCAUUCACUCUAUCUGCUUCUGUCUGUCUCUCUGCGUCACUGUCUGCCGCUGUUGGGGCGGGGGUCCUGAAUCCCUGUCCCGUUUUCAACUACCUUCUAGAGUGGCUAUAAUUGUUUGCAUUUUCCUAAACAACACUAAAUAGAAGUAAAUAGCAGAAGAAGUAAGCCCUUUCCCAAGUUUUUCCGUUGGCGACGUUCAUUUGUCAGAGGGGAUUUUUCUCUAAAUACAUAAACGCUGAACGAGGAUGGGGGUGGGGAGGAGGGAGGAGGGAAGAAAGGUAACCCAGAUCUGUCCAGAAGUAGAAGGCAACACUCAAAAGGAGGAACAUAUUUGGGUUUGAGGGGGCUGGGAGAGCCUCCCUCUCCUCUGGGUUAGGCCGAGAUGAUCAGGUGCCUCGGCUCCUUUUGCAGCUCGGGUUAAUUUUUAAUAUUCUUUGGGUAAGGUAAAAGGGAAGACAGGAGCCCAGAGCCCACGACCCGCUUCUACAGCUCUCGCUCUUUGUUCCCAAGUCUCCUCCCCUCUUCUUUGUCUGGGAGGAAGGCUGGAGGAUGAUCACGUGGCAGGAGGGGCGGUGCUCCUGGCGGUUCCUGGGCUCCGAGCUGGGAACCAGGGUGAGUUUUGCAGGCGGCUCCUUUUUUUUUUUUGUCAUUUACUCUUUGUCUUGGUUACUGAUGUGGCUGUGUGACCGCAGCCCUGGGAUUUUCUUCCCUCUAACUCCAAACGCCAGUUCCUUAGAUCUCCCUGUUUUAAGGUCAGUGGAAACUUAAAAAAAAGCAGUGCUAAGCUAAUAAAUUCUUACUUGCAAAAGACUUUGUCCCGGUUCUUUGUAAAGCCUGCACUCUUGCCUUGUAGUUCCCAGAUGGUCAAAGAGCGGGCCAUGUUUAGGAAUACGUGCUUGUAGCAUCCCGACGUGCCCCUUUUUUUUUUCUUUUCUUUAUUCCCGAGGCUGGAAUUCACUCUGUAGCCUGAGUGCUGGGAUGGAUUCCUGGCAAGAGCCCCCGCCCUGGCCUAUUUCAUUAAGGCCGAUGGUGGUGACAUGGCUCAGGGCAUUCCGGCAGGUGCCACCAAAUCUGACAAGCCUGAUCCCGUUUUAGAAUCCCGGAAGCCCAAUUGAACUGGCUCCUGUACAUCGUCCUCUGAUCUCCACACUAGUGAUAUGGCACAGGCUCAGAGCGGGUCGCAGCUACUGGCUAUUUUUUAAUGCCCGGACGAAUUAAGCGUCUGUAAGAUGCUCCGUUUCAAAUGUUAGGCGCCUGGGGAUUGGCCGGGAGGGCUCAUGUUUAGAACACCCAUCUGCGGCCAUAGGCCAGAGGGAGGUCACAGCACUUGUUAAAAUAUUCAAAAUGUACAUCCCAGACCUUGGAUAUGACAGGUCAGGCAGCCUAAGUCUAAAUUCUCCCCUGUCUAACAUAGGACAACCUGGGAAGGUAGUUUAGGGCUGGAGAGAUGGCUGGGCAGUUGAGAACACCGGCUGUUCUUCCAGAGCACCUGGGUCCAGUCUCCACCACCUACACAGCAGCUCACAACCCUCUGUGAUUCCAGUUCCAGGACAUCUGUUGACCUCUUCUCUCCCCUGCAGGUACCUACCAUGCCAAGCAGUGCGCUGAUAAUUUAUGCAAGCGAAACGCCUAUAUGCAUAAUGGCAUCCGACACCCUCUUCCGGCCUCUGAGGAUACGUCACGCAUGAGCUGUGCAGACAUACAUGCAGGCACUAUACCAAUACAUAUACAAUAAAAAUAAACAAAUCUUUUAUUUUAAAAGACUGUAUUUGGGAAGAGCCUAUUAGCAGGUCCACAUCUUCUAUAUACAUUUCAUGUUGUGUUUCUCAACUGUGCAAAAGUGAGUUCUGUCCUGGAGUGGAUGGUCAGAGGCACAGGAGUCUGGAAACCCUCUGCGCAUGCCAAGAAUGGAGAGCCUUCUUUGUCCUCACCCAGGAGAGAGCACAAAUCCAUUAUCAACGAAACACUCUGGGGAAAACUCGAACUUUCCUGGUAGGUGCUUUUCUCUAGAUGACACACAAUGCUGCUCUCUCAGUGCCGAGGACUCUGGCCAGACAUUGCUUAGUGAGACAUCGCCCCCGCAGCGAAGUGGCACGAUACUCUCCCCCCAGAUGGAAUGAAUCAUUCUCUUGAUUUUGAACCCUCGCAGCCUGUUACUCACACAGUGGCUAAUUUCUGACCUAUUACACCUUGCACAGGUGAAUCUUCAUAGAAACGGUCCCUCCCGGGCAGGGAAGAGGGCUGACUCAUCCGUCUUCCCCAGGCCGGCAAGACAAGCCCUGCUCGCUCGCGUACGCGCGUGGCUGCUGCUCAGCUACCCCUCACCGAAUCAAUUACUUUUAAAAUUCAGUCUCUUAGGGAUUAAGUUACUGAGGUCUGUGAGGAAACCUGUCCAACCAGUUGCACCUUGUAUACUUUUUCCUUGGUCAGCGCCUGAGCUGAUGUUUCCUCAACACGGCUGCCAGCCCCUCACGUCACGUGACCAUGGCGCAUCUUUAACCCGGUAAAGACUGGGAACAUCUGGGGAAAAGGACGAUUUAAGCACUAUUUUAUCUGUGUAUUUUAUAUUUUAUUAGUAUGUGUUAAUUAUAAUGACGAUUGCGUUAUGACUUUUUUUUAUAGAUACAUAAAAUGUAUUUUGAUUAUAUUCACUCUCAGUCGAGCUCUCUUCUCGCCCUCCUGUAGUAGCUGGUCCUUUUUCUGGUUCUGGCUAAUUGCUGUGGUGUAGAGCACGCGCUUGUGUAUGUGCGUGUCCCAAUGCUCUGUGAGGCUCAGUGAGUUCCAUCAGGGUCACUCACAGGAACAUGGAUGGUGGGUUAUUUACCUGAGCGUGGGCCACCUUAUGGCUACCCCACGAAAGAAAAUCCCUCUUCCAGCAACCUAUAGCUCCUCAGGGUGGGUGGAGGCGUCCCGAGCUCCUCCC